UGAGACAUUGCAUAGAUCCUGAAUCAAUGUAUAGAGCACUGGGGAAAAUAGGUAAAUAAAGACCAAAAAUCAAAAUACUUAAUUAUAAAUAUUUUAUUAGUGAACAACUAAUACAAAAAAAUCCUUUCAGGUGAGAAACUAUGUUGUUGAUGUUUCUUAUCCCCUUGUGUAAAGAUUACACGAAUUCCAUGAUCUCAUGGAAUGGGGUAUAGGGGUGCAGCUUUCGUUGAUCAUGGCACCAUGAUCCAGGCACACUUUGGUGAAAGUCUGACUUUGCCUGUGAUUUGAGGCCAUUCCAAAUAUGGAAGCCUUUGUUUCUGACUCUAACAUGAGCACAGACGCAGCUCCUCCGUAUCCCUGGAGUGGAACCAUUGCUGAGGUCCAUCAACUGGGUCAGUUGAACUCAGGAUUUUUAAAGAGGGAGUGUCCCUCCUGGUUACAGCAUCAAGUCUACCAGAACAAGACUUGAUACAAUCGUGUAGAGAGUUUACUGUACCUCCCAACAAUGUCCACUGCACCACAGGCCAGUUACAGAGGGGUAAGCAUGGGAGGUGUGAGAAACUAUAGGCAUUGGUUGAUGAGGCACAAUUUGGAUUGUAGAUUAUAAACAAAAGGUAAUAAGACCAAAUCCAAAUAUAUAAAUAGUGUGUGACGUUUCGGUAACAGCAUUGUUACCAUCUUCAGACAAAAGUACUGAAUGGAAAAAAGGAGCCUACAGCACCCGGUGUUCCCAGGUGGUCACCCUCCCAAGUACUGACCGAGCCCGACGUUGCUUAACUUCGGUGGUCGGACGAGAACCGGUGUUUUCAACGUGGUAUGGCCGUAGGCCAUAGUACUUUUGUCAGAAGAUGGAAACAACGCUGUUACCGAAACGUCACACACUAUUUAUUUAUUUGGAUUUGGUCUUAUUACCUUUUGUUUAUAGGCAUUGGUGAAACUUUAAACAAAUUUUUUGGAAAUGAAACAAAAAGUAAAAGAAAACAAAUCUUAAAAGAAAAUUAAAUACAACACAACAAUAUACCAAAUUAGACAACAUAAAAGGCAUACAUUCAUUUAUUUGAAAUAAAUAUCCAAAUAAAUAAAUAGUGUGUGACGUUUCGGUAACAGCGUUGUUACCAUCUUCAGACAAAAGUACUGAAUGGAAAAAAGGAGCCUACAGCACCCGGUGUUCCCAGGUGGUCACCCUCCCAAGUACUGACCGAGCCCGACGUUGCUUAACUUCGGUGAUCGGACGAGAACCGGUGUUUUCAACGUGGUAUGGCCGUAGGCCAUAGUACUUUUGUCUGAAGAUGGUAACAACGCUGUUACCGAAACGUCACACACUAUUUAUUUAUUUGGAUUUGGUCUUAUUACCUUUUGUUUAUAGGCAUUGGUGAAACUUUAAACAAAUUUUUUGGAAAUGAAACAAAAAGUAAAAGAAAACAAAUCUUAAAAGAAAAUUAAAUACAACACAACAAUAAACCAAAUUAGACAACAUAAAAGGCAUACAUUCAUUUAUUUGAAAUGAAAAAAAAAAUUAAAAGAAAACAAAUCUGAAAAUAAAAUUGAAUACAACACAACUAUAUAGCAGAUAAGACAACAUAAAAAGGAAAAAUUCAUUUAAAGGACCUCAUUAAAAACUAUAUUUCUAGUUUUAUAAAUACGUGGGUUCAACUUUACCCGUAUGCUAUUCAAAGUUCGCACACGUGAAAAAGCCACAUAGAGCUGUCCAUGAGUAAACACGGGCUCAUGUAGCAAGAGACCCACUCUAGCAAAGGUUUGGCCUUGAGCCUUAUUAAUAGUCAUGGCAAAAGCCAACCUUAGUGGAAACUGACGCCUCUUCAGAAUGAAGGGAAGGUUGGUAUCUGAAGGAGCCAAAGAUAUUUUUGGCACCAAUACAGUUUGUCCAACUUUGGUCCCUGUCAGUAUUUGUGCUUCUAGGACAUGAGAGCGCAUGCGCUGGAUAACCAUACGUGUGCCAUUGCAGAGACCCUGCUUAGGAUUCAAAUUUCUAAGGAGCAUAACAAUAGCACCAAUCUUAAGGUUUAACCGGUGUGGAGGCAUUCCUGUGGGAGUAAGGCUAUUAAGGAAUUCAGUAGGGUAAUUAUUUUGUUCCUCCACAUUCUCACACUCGACACUGUCAACACUGAGAAAACACUGACUCCUGUUUGGUAAGCGAUCCAAAACUUUUUCAUUAAUCUCUAAUGAAUCUGUGUUUUUUGGCGUUAAAAUCACAGACUGGCUAAGGGCGGUAAUAUCACCAUAGGAAGAACCAAAUAUUUCCUGCACCAGGUCAACCCCAUGAAAGAUACAGCUUUCUGGAAGAGAAAUGAGGCCCUGUUGGUCUGUAGGUAGAUUACCAUCACCAACUUUAAGUAACCAUUGAGAGAAGCUCUGUGCAUCAAUACCUGCUCGCAUAUUCUGAGUAAGGCGCAAGAUCACAAACAAUGGCCAUAGCUUGCUUUGCUUAAUGCAAGCAGCAACAAUUUCAGCUCUUGAAGCUCGAGGUACCACAGGUAGCACUUGGCGAAAGUCACCUCCAAGAACAACAACCUUUCCGCCAAAAGCAAGGUCACAAUGCAUAAUGUCCUUUAGGAGACGAUCCACAAUUUCAAGUGCUCUGUAGUGGGCCAUAGGAGCCUCAUCCCAAAUAAUUAAGGAUGAUCUACGAAUAAGCUCAGCCUCAGAACUAUUGGCCGAGAUCGCAGCUACAGAAUUCUCAAGCAAGGGAAUCGGCAGCUUAAACCUGGAAUGGACAGUCUGGCCACCUGACAAAAGGGUAGCCGCUAUUCCAGUGGAGGCCAGCGGAAUGACAAUUUUUCCAACGGCUCUAACACAAUGAAUUAGGGUGUUAUAAACAUAAGUCUUGCCCGUACCACCAGGCCCACCAAUAAAAAAGCAACGUGGAUUUACAUUGAGGGAAUCAACAAUUGUGUCAACAAUUGACUUUUGAUCUGGUGUAAGGGACCUAUACAUUUCUGUAUCACCGGCAGGAAAUAAAAGAGGGUAUGUCAUUGGGUCACAGUUAGGAUUAAGUGGAGAAAUACGCACUAAACCACAAUCAUGCGGAAAAACAGCAAUAUCUCUGUUAGAAGGUACAUGGCCAUCUUGAUCAACAAAAAUGGCCGCAACUUCACUUACACUUGGGGCAUUAUAUCGGCGAAGAUCUCUACAAUGAUUUUGCCGGAUGAGCAUCUGAACCUGACACAUUUGCCGGUUCUCAAUGCGAGCCCGGUGUUCCUCAGCUAGUUCCACCUGGUGCAUCUGCCUAUAAGCAGAAGUAUACGGAUUCACACGCCUAAGCACAGAAUCCAAAAGAGUCAAUAUACCAGGAUGGCAUUCCAAAGGCCUAGAUGCUGCAAUGCGUGUAUUAUUCGCAGCCUCAGAAUCCAAAAUAUAAAGUUGGGCAUAAGACGGGGCUCUGUUUCCAUGAGGAUGAAGGGGCCCAGUCAAAUGAUAGAUCUGUCCAUGGAUUCUAUAACAAAAAGGCCCCUGUCCAGAAAAGACAUCAACCUGCGCACCCAUGGAGGCAAAUGCCAAAGAGCUGUUGUAGCUCCGAAUGUUGGUCUGGAAGUACUUAGCCUCCACACUGUUUGAAGUCAUCAAUUCCAUCAUUUCAUAUGGAAAGGAGGACAAAGUAGGAAGAAUAACUUUCCCUUUGUGGCAGCAGGAGCUACCAACAGUUUCGCCAGGGAAAUGAAGGGCUGAGCAGUAAGGGCAGACUAUAUCGAGGCCCCCAAUAAUAUAUUCAGUGGGAACAGGAGAAAUAGGAUUAGGGGCGUUGUUCCCGCGGCGAGUCCUAUAAGCGAGUCUUCCACGGCCUCUGCGAGGCAUGAUACAGAAGCCGCUGAAAAAAAAAAAGCUAAACCAAAAACCAAGUUGAGCAAAUACAUGUCAAAAUAAAUUUAAUGUAAAAGAUCUCAAUAUAAACAACAUAUUAAAUUGCACAGUGCAAAAAUGUAGAAAAUUGUAUGUAUCAUAUAACAUUUUAUCAUAUAACAAAUUAAGUAAUCAACAAUUGAUUAUAAAAAUAAAUAAUUAGCCUCUUAUUGAGAAAAAUAAAGAUGCCAAAGACAUUAUGAAAGAUACUGCAAAAAAGAAUUAUGAAAGAUACGGCAAAAAAGAAAACCAGACACAAAAAAUUGAGCAAAAUGUAAAAUUAAAAACUAUAACAAAGAACCCACAAAUUAAUUUAAUCAGAAAUACAAAAAAGACGCUGAAAAAAAAAGGUAAAAUAAGAACCAAGCAGAGGAAAACUAUAAAACUGAAAGCCAGGACAGGCAUAAAAAGAAAAUUCCAAGCAAGUGAGGAAACAAUUGAUGAAAAAAAAAUGUGCAAAUAAUAUGUAUAUAAAAAAGCAAAGCCCAAUUCUAAACCCAAAUAUUUUUUUUAUGAGAAGAACAUCAACAUAUUGAAUGAUUAUGGCAGUCCAUAGCUUCCCUGACAAAAAUUCACCAAAAAAGUUAAAUAUUCCAAAAUAAGUAAGGCACUUUUGCAGCCCCCCUGACAAAAAUUAACUAAAAGAGUUAAGUAUCCAAAAAAAUAUUUUGGUAUACAUAUUGCUAAAUGUGUAACAAACAUGUAUAUGAAAAAGCAAAGCUUAAUUCUAAGUUUUAAUAUUUUUUUUCAAUAUACAGAAGAAAUAAGACACAAAAAUGGAGCUAAAUUCAAAUGAAAAACUAUAACAAACAGUUAUAAAAGAUAAUUAUUAUAGAAUAAAGUAAUAAUUCAAUCUACAAAUCGAAAAAUGUAUAUAUUUAAAUGAAAAACUAAGUUUCAAUAUUUUUUUUAAUAUACAGAAGAAAUAAGACACAAAAAUGGAGCUAAAUUCAAAUGAAAAACUAUAACAAACAGUUAUAAAAGAUAAUUAUUAUAGAAUAAAGUAAUAAUUCAAUCUACAAAUCGAAAAAUGUAUAUAUUUAAAUGAAAAACUAUAACAAAGUACUUACAUAAGCAAAUUAAUCAGAUAAUAAUCAGAUAAAUCAAAACACAUUUCUACGGAAUUUCAAAACAAAUGAUUGAUGAUGAUAAAUGCAAAAAAUCUACGAUUGUAAAAUAGAUUAAAUUAAAAAAUAAAAAUAACUGUUAACAUUAGGAAAAUAAAAACAGGCCUAUGACACGAAGAAAAAAAUAACGAAAAUUUUGGUAUAUAGAUUGUUAUGUGUAGUUCAGAAUCUUCGGAGGAGAUAGCUCAGGACUUUACAAUGGAAAACUCUGUUACGGUAUUAUCUAUAUAGAUAUUGGAUCAAAAUAUCAUUUAUUUUACCAAUAUUUCAGUUGGCUGAACUCCAACCUUUAUCAAGGUAUUAUAACAUUAAUAUGUGUCAACAACAAUCUCAGCGCCACAUAACGUCAAUAGAAUUAAGUUUUAAAAUAUUUUUGAUUUAUAUUCAAUGGGGAGAAAAAAAUUAUAUAUAUAUAUAUAUAUAUAUAUAUAUAUAUAUAUAUAUAUAUAUAUUUAUAUAUGAAAAAACGAAAGAAAAAAUAAAAGAUAAAAAGGUCAGAUGUUGAUAUCAAACAUAAAAAUGCAUAUUCUGACCAGAAGCACAUGUGCUUUACAGAAGGCAGAGCGCCAUCUGGUGGAACAGAAAUCAACUAAACAUUGGCCAAAUAUCAGGGAACAGGUUAAAUCAAUGUUUAGUUGAUUUCUGUUCCACCAGAUGGCGCUUUGCCUUCUGAAAAGCACAUGUGCUCCUGGUCAGGAUAUGCCAUUUUUAUUUUUGAUAUAUAUAUAUAUUACUAGCGGAUGUGUACCCGGCUCCGCCCAGGUUUUACCCGAGUGAAAGUUUGCCUAACGAAUAUUAUAUAUUAUGAAGUUUAAUAAACAAUGUUAAAGAUUAGUUUUAAUUAUUAAUCAAGAUUGUGUGUGAAAAUGUGAGAAAGAUGUAAUAUCGUUGUUGUUUUCUUGGCCGACUGUUUUACAUAUGGUGUUAUCUUAAAAUUGCUUGUUUUGAAUAUUUUUUUAGAUUGAGUUGAAUGAAUUGCUGAAUUUUUUUUGUAUUUAUAUAUAAAUAAAAUUAACUCUGUUGAUUUUUUUUAGUAUUUAAUCGAUAACAGCGAAGUUACGCAUGUUAAAGUUAGGAAAAAUAUUUUGAUGUUAAGCAAAACCUGCUCCAUCUCGUUUUACAUAAAUGUUGAAAAUUUGGUCGAAAUUGAUGCAUUGUAACGAAAGUUUUUAGCGAACAACACUUAUGAAAUUUGCAUUUUAUUAAUAUAGAUGGACAAAAAUAAAUUUUGUAAAAUAAGGGUAUGAAUAUUUUGAAUAUUAACAAUAACGCCUAUAUAUUUUAUAUUUAUAAUUAUUUGUACUAUGUGUAAAAAGAUAAUAAUAAUAUCUAUUACUUUAGCUGUGAACAGUCUGAUGCACGAGAACACAUGCCAAAAACAAAAGUUUUCCAAUUAUUCUGUAUAAAUAUUAUUUAGAGAUUGUACAUAGAAUAUCAGUCCGUUGAAGAAGAACAGUAUAUUUGCUUGAAAGCUUGCAAAUUCAAAAUUAAAAGUAACAUUUUACCUUAUUUUUAUUUUUCCUCUUUCAAAGAAUGAGAGAGAGUAAAAAAAAAAUAGGCCAUAAUUGUCCUACAGAUGGCGCGCUAUGUAUAAAAGUUUUGUUUUUUAGACACGUAAGAUUCUUUUUAAAUUAAACAAUAUCUACUGACCUUACUGCAAUGGAAAAAUUAAUGGGAGUGCCUGGCUCAUCAGUGGUGAACCCUCUCAGCGCUUUCACCAGUUUAAUCUACCAUACCGCUGUUAUAUUGCAUUUUUUUCCGAUCUGAGAGGGUUCACCACUGAUGAGCCAGGCCCUCCUAUUAAUUUUUCCAUUCCAGUAAGGUCAAUAGAUAUUGUUUAAUUUUAAAAAGAAUCUUACGCGUCUAAAAUAGUUUCGAAUUUUGAUAACAGAUGGCUCGCUAGUGAAUCGUAAUGUAUAAAAGUAUUGGAGAAAGAUUUUCAAUGAAAGAAUUCCACAAGUUGGCGUAGUUUGAAUAAUUCAAGACAUUCUAAGUCGGGUUGCCUAAAAUCAUCACAAGAAAGUUUAUACACAACUUACCCUGGAGCUGCAUGGAAUUCCCAAUUUUCUCUUCGAAUGUUUAACAUGUCUUCUCAUAUAUUGAACUUCUGUGAAUAUUUUCUUUUUCCAAUCCUCCACUAAACAUAACUACCUCCAUUCCUGAUAAAAUUGUGAAAAAAAGUUUUAAAAUUACAAAAUAUUCUCUCACAAUGAGUUUUUUUUUUUUAUUACCAAACGCUAGCUUUCAAGUGAUAAUCUCUCUUCAACGGGCUUAGUAAAACAUCGACUAUAUCUUACAAG